GACGAACGCUGGCGGCGUGCCUAAUACAUGCAAGUAGAACGCUGAAGAGAGGAGCUUGCUCUUCUUGGAUGAGUUGCGAACGGGUGAGUAACGCGUAGGUAACCUGCCUUGUAGCGGGGGAUAACUAUUGGAAACGAUAGCUAAUACCGCAUAACAAUGAUGACACAUGUCAUUUAUUUGAAAGGGGCAAUUGCUCCACUACAAGAUGGACCUGCGUUGUAUUAGCUAGUAGGUGAGGUAAUGGCUCACCUAGGCGACGAUACAUAGCCGACCUGAGAGGGGGAUCGGCCACACUGGGACUGAGACACGGCCCAGACUCCUACGGGAGGCAGCAGUAGGGAAUCUUCGGCAAUGGGGGCAACCCUGACCGAGCAACGCCGCGGGAGUGAAGAAGGUUGUCGGAUCGUAAAGCUCUGUUGUAAGUCAAGAACGGGUGUGAGAGUGGAAAGUUCACACUGUGACGGUAGCUUAACAGAAAGGGACGGCUAACUACGUG
rnacentral:rRNA from 1 species